AACUUUGCCACAGUGGCAGUAUCAUAGCCAAUGAGGCUUAUCUGAAGCGUGAUUAUUGCUAAUUGAAAGCUUUUCAUAGAUCAAAGAUGUUUUUGAUGAAUCGCAGUUCGCUAAGAACUUUUAUCAAGAAGGGAUGUUGGUUAGAAUGUAUUUUAAUAUGUGCAGGUAUAUUACAUAUA
rnacentral:snRNA from 1 species